CACUGAGGACAGUAAGUUGCCACCCAAGCACAUAGCUAAUAGAAUGUUGCCCCCAAGAAGAUGCCAUUCCCAAAAGCAAGAAGGUGAAAGUCUCACACAGGUCCACACAACACAGUACCAGGCUUGGUGCUGACACUGGGCCAGGGCCACAUGGGCCAGCUAGGGCUGGGGGAGAGUGUGCUGGAGAGGAAGAAGGCAGCCUUGGUACUCCUUCUACAGGAUGUUGUGCAGGCUGAGGCCCAGAGCAUGCAUACUGUGUGUCUGAGCCAAAGUGGCCAGGUCUAUUCCUUUGGCUGCAAUGACGAGGGUGCCCUGGGAAGGGACACCUCAGUUGAGGGCUCAGAGAUGGUCCCUGGGAAAGUGGAACUGCAAGAGAAAGUCGUGCAAGUGUCAGUGGGGCACACUCACACAGCAGCCCUCACCGAAUACAGCUGAGUCUUACUCUGGGGCUCUUUCUGGGACAACAAUGGUGUGAUCAGGUUGUUGGAGCUCAUGAAGAAGAGCAUGGUGCCUAUUCAAGUGCAGCUGUAUACUCAGGUGGUAAAGGUAGCCAUGGGGAAUGACCACUUGGUGAUGCUCACAAGUGAUGGAAACCUCAACACCUUGGGUUGUGGGGAGCAAGGUCAGCUGGUCCAUGUACCUGAGUUAUUUGCCAACUGUGGUGGCUUUCAAGGGUCUUGAAUGACUCCUGGUCCCCAGAUGUGUGCUGCUGAAGUCCCGGGGAACCUGGGGCCAUGUAUGGUUCCAGGAUGCCUUCUGUGGGGCCUAUUUCACUUUUGCCAUCUCCUGUGAGGGCCAUGUGUAUGGUAUGACUUUGGCCUCUCCAACUAUCACCAGUUCGAAAUUCUAGGCACUAGGUCUUUCUUCAUUCCUCAAAACUUGACAUUAUUCAAGAAUCCCAUCGACUACU
rnacentral:lncRNA from 1 species